rnacentral:rRNA from 1 species
AAAACUUCACAAUGGGGGAAACCCCGAUGAGGGAAUUCCAAGUGUCAGCACAUUGUGUUGACUGUUCCCCUGUCUAAAAAACAGGAGAAGUAAGGGCCGGGUAAGACGGGUGCCAGCCGCCGCGGUAAUACCCGCGGCCCGAGUGGUGGUCGAUAUUAUUGAGCCUAAAACGUUCGUAGCCGGUCUUGUAAAUCCUUGGGUAAAUCGGCCAGCUUAACUGUCCGAAGUCCGGGGAGACUGCAAGACUUGGGAUCGGGAGAGGUCAGAGGUACUUCUAGGGUAGGGGUAAAAUCCUGUAAUCCUAGAAGGACCACCGGUGGCGAAGGCGUCUGACUAGAACGAAUUCGACGGUGAGGAACGAAGCCCUGGGGCGCAAACGGGAUUAGA